rnacentral:lncRNA from 10 species
AGGUCAUCUGUAUCAUAAAUAGAAUUUGGUUAAGACUCAUUGUAUCAAGGGGUUGUUACUGAAAGGAGUAGUCCCAUUUUUAUUUGUAGCUUCUGAAAUAAAUGUCCUAGACACUUGUUUAAAAAGACCUACUUUUUUGGAUGUAAGGACAGGGUUAGUUAGGGUUGAGGAAUUUUUGCCCACCCUCUUUUGAGUGUAUGGUACAAAGUCAGCAUCUAUCUUCCUGAUUCCUAAAAGGCCUAGCUCAUGAAGGAUAUUUCCUUGUUUAGUGGAAAGCCUGAAAUUCGGGGAAGGUUGUCUGGAGACUGAGGGGACCCUUCACCCACGUGUGUCUUCAAGUCAGGGAAGCCACAGCAUGGCAGAUUCACCUCAGGGCCACUCUCGGCUGUUGGUAAACUAGUAGUCCCUCAAUUUACAUGAGAGGGUUCUGUGGUCAAGCAAUGUGUUUUCUUUUUUGAUAUGAACCAAUUUCAGUAGAACUGGAGCAUACCCAUUGGCUACCUGGGGUUACAGGGGCUCUGGCCUGAAAUUGCUUGAAGAGUUGCAGUUGGUGGCUUUCAUGUGUUCAGGGACUAGGCAUUGGUUGGUCUGUUCUGCUUCCAUCUUCUCCACUUGGUAAGCAGUGCCAGCCUGGGAGACCUGUGGUCAGUCAGCUGUUUUUGAAUGAUAAUGCACCUCCCCAGAGAGUGUAGACAAGGCUCUGCAUGCUGCAGAUUAAGAGCCCAUCCUGGAUCCUGAUAAGGAGUUCUGGGUGGAGGAGUCCUUGGUGCUGCAACAAACAAGUCCCAGGAGGAAGAAACCCACUUCUGUAGGCCUGACUCCUGUAAGGAGCCUUUGGUAAGGAAGGUGAGGACUCAGGUGUCCUGGCUUCCAGGCCAACACAGCAUCCCUGGCCCAACAAAGAUUGGUGCAACAGAAAGAGUUCUGGACUGGGAGGAAGAAUGUAUGGGUUGUGGUCCUGGUACUUCUUAACUAGCCAUGUGAGUCUGGACAAGCUCCUCAGCUUUUCUGUCUUAAAAAUUAGGGAGUUGGCUGGGUGCAGUGGCUCAUGCCUGUAAUCCCAGC